rnacentral:rRNA from 1 species
GACGAACGCUGGCGGCGUGCUUAACACAUGCAAGUCGAACGGAAAGGCCCUGCUUUUGUGGGGUGCUCGAGUGGCGAACGGGUGAGUAACACGUGAGUAACCUGCCCUUGACUUUGGGAUAACUUCAGGAAACUGGGGCUAAUACCGGAUAGGAGCUCCUGCUGCAUGGUGGGGGUUGGAAAGUUUCGGCGGUUGGGGAUGGACUCGCGGCUUAUCAGCUUGUUGGUGGGGUAGUGGCUUACCAAGGCUUUGACGGGUAGCCGGCCUGGGAGGGUGACCGGCCACAUGGGGACUGAGAGACGGCCCAGACGGCUACGGGAGGCAGCAGGGGGGAAUAUUGCACAAUGGGCGGAAGCCUGAUGCAGAAACGCCGCGUGCGGGAUGACGGCCUUCGGGGGGUAAACCGCUUUCGCCUGUGACGAAGCGUGAGUGACGGUAGUGGGUAAAGAAGCACCGGCUAACUACGUG